rnacentral:rRNA from 1 species
GAUGAACGCUGGCGGUAUGCUUAACACAUGCAAGUCGAACGGACUCUUCGGAGUUAGUGGCGGACGGGUGAGUAACGCGUGAGAAUCUGGCUUUGGGUUCAGGACAACCACUGGAAACGGUGGCUAAUACCGGAUGUGCCGAGAGGUAAAAGAGAAAUUGCCUGAAGAUGAGCUCGCGUCUGAUUAGCUAGUUGGUGAGGUAAAGGCUCACCAAGGCAGCGAUCAGUAGCUGGUCUGAGAGGAUGACCAGCCACACUGGGACUGAGACACGGCCCAGACUCCUACGGGAGGCAGCAGUGGGGAAUUUUCCGCAAUGGGCGAAAGCCUGACGGAGCAAUACCGCGUGAGGGAAGAAGGCUCUUGGGUUGUAAACCUCUUUUCUUAGGGAAGAACAAAAUGACGGUACCUAAGGAAUCAGCAUCGGCUAACUCCGUG